rnacentral:rRNA from 1 species
CACCGCCCGUCACACCAUGGGAGUUGGUUUGACCUCGAAGACGGUGCGCUAACUCGCAAGAGGGGCAGCCGGCCACGGUCAGGUCAGCGACUGGGUG